GGCUCUUUCUGCAUUUCUUCUUACAAAAAUUAGUCAUAGUGGAUUAUGGUCUACCCUAGUGACCUCAUUUUAGCAUAAUUACCCCCUUAAGACCCUCUCUCUAAAUAAUAUAAGUCAUGUUCUGAGGUGCUAGGGGUUAAGACUUCAACAUGUGAAUUUUGAGGGGACAUAGCCUAUAGCACAGGCAUGCAGAGAGGCAGAAAAAUAUGACAUGUAUAUAAUGAAGAGAGUAAUCAAUGAAAACCAAUUGAGUACUGAUACACACAUUAGUAUUUGCACAGAAGGAUAUUAAAACACUUACUGAAAUUGUAUUCCAUAUGUUCCAGAAGUUAAGUGGAGUCAAGGAAAAUCUGAAGUUACCCAAAUUGAAUUUCUAAAGAUGAAAACCACAAUGUGUGAGGUGAAGGUUACACUGAAGGGAAUUAUACUGAAGGGUAGAUUAAACACUGCUAAGGAAAGGAGUCGGCUGGGUGCUGUGGCUCACUCCUGUAAUCCCAGCACUUUGGGAGGCUGAGGUGGGCAGAUCACCUGAGGUCAAACUCGACAUGGAGAAACCCUGUUUCUACUAAAAAUACAAAGUUAGCCAGGCAUGGUGGCGCAUGCCUGUAAUCCCAGUUACUCAGGAGGCUGAGGCAGGAGAAUCGCUUGAAGGUGGAGGCCGGAGGUGGAGGUUGUAGUGAGCCAAGAUCGCACCAUUGCAUUCAAGCCCGGGCAACAAGAGCGAAACUCCAUCUAAAAAAAAAAGAAGAAGAAGAUGAAGAAAGGAGUCAACUAUUCAACGUGAAACAUGGGGAAAAGAGAACCAAACACAUUUUUAAAAGCAUCAUUACGAGGCCGGGUAUGGUGGCACACAUCUGUACUUCUACCAUGCCUGUAAUUCCACUACACCUGUAAUUCUGGCACUUCGGAAGGAUAAAAAAGGAGGAUCGCUUGACCCCAGGAAUCUGAGACCAGCCUGGGCAACAAAGGGAGACCUCGUCUAGGAAAAAAAAGAAAACUAUUAGCUGGGCGUCGUGUGCGCACCUGUGAUCCCAGCUACUUGGGAGGCUAAGGUGGGAGGAUAGCUUGAGCCUAGGAGGUCAGUGCUGCAUGAACCAUGAUCAAACCACUGCACUGUGGUUUGGGCAAGAGAAUGAGACCCUGUCUCAAAAAAAUUUUUAAAAGCAUCGGUAUGUUAUAGGACAACUUCAGGCAGCCUAUUAUAUUGAUAAUUAAAGUCCCCAAAGAAGGGGGAAAGGGGCAGAAAAAUAUUUGAAGAAAUAGGGGCCAGAAACUUUACAAGCUUGCUGAGAACUGUCAACGCACUGCCAAGAAGCUUAAUUAAUCUGCAUGGGAAACAUGAAGCACUACACCAAGGUGCUCAUAAUCAAAUUGCUCAAAACCAGCAAUAAAGAAAAAAAGCCUUCAAACCAACCAGAGGAAAAAGACAUAAUGUGCACACAAGAACAAAGAUAUGGCCAACAGAAGAUUUCUUAUCAGAAAAGAAAAGCAAGGAAGAAGCCAGUGAAGUAACAUCUUUAUUUAUUUAUUUAUUUUUGAGACGGAGUUUUGCUCUUGUUACCCAGGCUGGAGCGCAAUGGCGCAAUCUCAGCUCACUGCAACCUCCGCCUCCCGGGUUCAGGCAAUUCUUCUGCCUCAGCCUCCUGAGUAGCUGGGAUUACAGGCAUGCGCCACCAUGCCCAGCUAAUUUUUUGUAUUUUUGGUAGAAACAGGGUUUCACCAUGUUGACCAGGAUGGUCUCAAUCUCUUGACCUCGUGAUCCACCCGCCUCGGCCUCCCAAAGUGCUGGGAUUACAGGCUUGAGCCACCGCGCCCGGCCCCAUUUUUAAAUUUUUUUUUUUUUUUGAGACAGAGUCUCACUCUGUAGCCCAGGCUGGAGUGUAGUGGCACAGUCUUGGCUCACUGCAAACUUCACCUCCCAGGUUCAAGCGAUUCUCCUGCCUCAGCCUUUCAAGUAGCUGGGAUUACACUCACCCACCCCCACACUGGCUAAUUUUUGUAUUUUUAAUAGAGAAAGCGUUUUACCAUGUUGGCCAGGCUAGGCUGGAACUCCUGACCUCAGAUGAUCCACCCACCCCAGCUUCCCAAAAUGCUGGGAUUACAAGUGUGAGCCACUGCGCCUGGCUUUGAAGCAGCAUCUUUAAAGCUGUUAUGCUAUAUAGUAAUGCCGCUUAAUAAGAGGAACACCUUCUGAGGAACGUGUUGUUAGGCAAGUCCCAAGAUGCUGGGAUUCCAGUGAGCCACUGCGCCUGGUCUUGAAGCCACAUGUUUAAAGCUCUCAUGCCAUGUGGUGCACUUUCUGAGGAACGCAUUGUUAGGCAAGUGCAUUGUCAAGUGAACAUCAGAGUGUAUUUAUACAAAUGUAGGCGGUACAGCCUAUUACACGCCCAGGCUAUGUGGUAAGGCCUGUUGCUCCCAGGCUGCAAACCUGCACGGCAUGAUAUUUCACUGAGUCCUGUAGGCAGUUGUGACACAAUGUUAAGUAUUUGUCUAUCUACACAUAGAAAAGGUACAGUGAAAAUACAAUAAAAAAGGCCGAGUGCGGUGGUUCAUGCCUGUAAUCCCUGCACUUUGGGAGGCUGAGAUCGGCAGAUCAUGAGGUCAGGAGAUCGAGACCAUCCUGCCUAACACUGUGAAAACCCGUCUCUACUAAAAAUACAAAGAAUUAGCCAGGUGUGAAGGAGCGUGCCUGGAGUUCCAGCUACUUGGGAGACUGAGACAGGAAAAUCACUUGAACCCACGAGGCAGAGGUUGCGGUGAGCUGAGAUCACGCCACUGCACUCCAGUCUGGGUGACACAGUGAGACUCUGUCUCAAAAAAAAAGAAAAUACAAUAAAAAAGAUAAAAAACAGUACAAUAGGUCGGGCGCGGUGGCUCACGCCUAUAAUCCCAGGACUUUGGGAGGCUGAGGCGGGUGGAUCAUGAGGUCAAGAGAUAGAGACCAUCCUGGUCAACAAGGUGAAACACCACCUCUACUAAAAAUACAAAAAUUAGCUGGGCAUGGUGGCGCGUGCCUGUAGUCCCAGCUACUUGGGAGACUGAGGCAGGAGAAUUGCUUGAACACAGGAGGCGGAGGUUGCAGUGAGCCGAGGUCGCGCCAUUGCACUCCAGCCUGGGUAACAAGAGUGAAACUCUGCCUCAAAAAAAAAAACAAAAAACAGUACAAUAUAGGGCACUUACCAUGAUUGGAGCUUGCAGGACUUGAGAUUGCCUUGGGUGUCAGUGAGUGAGUGGUGAGUGAAUAUGAAGGCUUAAGACAUGAAUAUACAUUUUUAUACAGUUGGCAGUGGUUUGUUUAUACCAUAUCACUACAGAUGUGAGUAAUGUCUUGCAUUAUGAUGUUACAGCCAUGACAUAAGGCAGUAAGAAUUUUUUAGCUCCAUUAUAAUCAUGUGGGACAACCAUUGUAUAAGUGGUCCAUUGUUGGCUGAAACGCCAUUAUGCAGUUCGCAUGACUACUGAAAGAAUAAGGUAUCCGCCUAAAGUUCUUUACCAGGUGAAAAUAUCUUUGUAUGUUGUUCCUCCCACCCCCAAAGUAUCUUCAAAGGCAAAAUAGUAAAAGUUUUCAGAUAUUAAAAAAAGCUGAAAGAGGACCAGGCGUGGUGGUGGCUCAAGUCUGUAAUCCCAACACUUUGGGAGGCCGAGAUGGAAGGAUCACUUGAGCCCGGGAGUUCCAGACGAGCCUGGAAAACAGCCAGACUGGCUGUACCUGUGGUCCUAGCUGCUUGGGAGGCGGGAGGAUCACUUGAGCCCAGAAGGUGGAGGCUGCACUUCAGCCCGGGUGACAGAGUAAGACCUUGUCUCUUAAAAAAAAAGAAAGGCUGAGAUAAUUCAUUAUCCGCAGACCCGGGCUUUAAGAAAUGUUAAAGCCCAGGUAUGGUGGCUCAUGCGUAUAAUCCCAGCACUUUGGGAGGCCAAGGUGGUGGGACUGCUUGAGCCUAGGAAUUUGAGUCUGCAAUGAGCUAUGAGUGUGCCACUGUGCUCCAACUUGGGUUGAUAGAGCAAGAUCCCAUCUCUUAAAAAAAACAAAGAACAAGUGAAAUUACCACACAGAAUGAAAAUGAAGACACAUGUAUGCCCCUAACUCAUGCUUGAGGAAAAUACACAAAAAAGCCUUCAAAUAAUGACUUUAGUUUUCGUAUUAAAAAUCUAGGGGGCCAGGUACUGUGGCUUAUGCCUGCAAUCCCAACAAUUUGGGAGAGUGGGCAGUUGGAUCACUUGUGUCCAAGGACUUUGAGACCGGCUUGUGGUCCACAGUAUUUUGGACUACUUUUUUAUUGUCAGGCAGGGAAAUGAGAAAGUAAAUGUAGAGAACUGGAAUGAAGGUAACUUUGUAUAAUGGCUGAACCCUGAGACAGUGGCCUUCCUAUCAAGUUUCUAAGGUUGCUGCUUAGCAAAAUAAAAGCUUGGCAAUACUAGGUCAGUUCCCAUUUUGUAGAACAUUUUACGGGUUCAUGAAACAUAAAAUAUCUAGGAACCAGUUCUUUUGGGGAGUGUCAGGAAGCAGGGAGGGGUGUGUUGGGAGGCAUCACUCCUGAAGAGAGAUGAACAGGGUUGAAGAUGAAGCAGUUAAGAUGGUUACUAAGCAUUUCAUAACCAGGAGUUUUGGCUUUUAGAAAUCAGGCAUUUCUGUGCAUUAGAGCCUGCUGCUGCCUCCACUUUGGAAGUAGUGUUCUAAGGCUGGCCACAGUGAAAUCCAGUGCAGAGCUGCUACCCAGAUCCAAGAGCGUGUCCCACACCCGUAUGCAUUGCCCAUGGGGACAAGAUGGGACACAGACACGCCUUGGGGGCCUUUUGUGUAGGAACCGUGACUGCCAGAACGUAUCUCAGUCUGUGGUUUCUUCAGAGUAAGAAGGAUGUGUUUGCUAACCCUUUAAAUAGGAAUCUUCCUAUUUAGCUGAUCACUCCUGUUCUUUCUGGACUCACCAGUGUCUUUCAGAAAUAGCUUCUGGUAAGUUGGUGCUUGUUCAUGAUGGGAGGGAAGGAAGAGGAAGUAGAACAGUAAAGGCAGAACAAUUAAAAACAAGUGGUGAAGGGCCAGGUGCGGUGGCUCAUGCCUGUAAUUCCAGCAUUUUGGGAGGCUGAGGUGGGCAAAUUGCCCAAGGUCAGGAGUUUACAACCAGCCUGGGCAACACAGGUGAAACCCUGUCUCUACUAAAAUUAGAAAAAAAAGCCGAGCUUAGUGACGUGUCCCUGUAGCCCUAACUACUCAGGAGGCUGAGGGUAGAAUUGCUUGAACCCAGGAGGCAGAGGUUGCAGUGAGUGGAGAUCCUGCCACUGCACUCCAGCCUGGGGGACACAGUGAGACUCCAUCUCAAAAAUAAAAUAAACUAAAAUAAAAAUAACAUUGGUUGAGGACUGUGUACCUCAACAGAUUCCGUUUCCUUAAGUGUUUCUUUACAUGUGUGAAUUCAUGUCAUGCUUACAGCUGCCUCACGAGGUUGAUGGGUCGCCCUCUUUUCACAGAUGAGGAAGCGAAGGCAUGCAUAUGUAAGUAGCUUGCCCAGGGUCACACAGCCAUCCGGGUGGCAGACCUGUGCCAUCUCCAGUUCAUGCUCUAAUCACUGUGCUCUCCUGCCAUUACUUAGGGCUGUCUCUCUGAUACAUCCUGAAUAUUACAAGGGGAAAUUAUUGCUGAUUGAAAAUAUUGAUCAAGUGUCACUUGAGAGAAAUUAGUUUACUCACCAGCACAUUGCUUUCCUUCUCUGAUGGCACUGGUGACUCCGCAGCUGUGCUUGAGGGGUGGGCCUCUGAGAGCACAAACCUUCCGCAGAGCCUUCUCUCUGGGUUGGUGGCUUCCUCUGUGGCCCCCUUGUUGGCUUAGCACUUUCGACCCCCAGAGCUUUGGUCAUGCCUGGGAAGCUCUGGGAGCCAGCUGAAGGUGUAAAGAAGCAAAGCCUCUAGGGAGUCCUGUGCACCCCAGCAAUCAUUGGGGUGCAUGGGAGAUCUGAUGCAUCAUUGUGAUUCAGGGGAACCCCCAUGGUCAGUGCCGAGAGGCACUGAAAGCAUUGAAGGGUAAGUGUGUUCCGGUCCACUGUAAUCAAUUUAAGUAGGAAUUGCUGCAGUGGCUAUGUGCAUUUCCCCAAGAAGAUAACCUGGAAGCCCAGUCUUUUCAGAUAGGAAAAAACAAAGGGCAAGAAUCCAUUUAUAUCUAAAAAUGGAGGUGGGUGCCUGUAGUCCCAGCUACUCAGGAGGCUGAGGCAGGAGAAUCGCUUGAACCUGGGAGGCGGAGGUUGCAGUGAGCCAUGAUCAUGCCACUGCACUCCAGCCUGGGCAACAAGAGCAAAACUCCAUCUCCCAAAAAAAAAAAAAAAAAAAGUCCUUUGUUAACAAAAAGUCUACAGGGGCUUUUUUUUCUUUUUUCUUUUUCUUUUUUUUUUUUAACAGAGACAGAGAAACAGGGUCUUGCUGUGCUGCCCACACAGUCUCAUACUCCUGGCCUUAAGUGAUCCCCUUGCCUCAGACCCCCAGAGUGCUGGCAUUGCAGGGGUAAGCCACCAUGCCUGGCCAGAGCUCCUUUAAAGAGCAGGUUUUCCCAGUGUGAAGUUAUAAAAUGGCUUACUUCACAUGUUGUGCCUACAUGUGUAGUUAUUGAUACCUGAACACAACAUCCGUGCUCACUGGCACUCCUGGUUCGGGACCUCACCUUGAACUGAGACGCGGUCUCACAAUCUGCAUGGAAGUGACAUGUUGCUUCUGUAGGAAGAAGUGGUUAAGAGCAGGUGUGUGAUCCUUUGUGCCCUCUGCCCCUGCUGCAGCAAACCCGAAAGCCUUGUGUGGAGGUGGCAGCAUUGCAAAGUGACGGAGCUUCUGCAAGACAGGACCCUGAGUAACUGUUUAGUAGAACUCCAGCCAACCUGUGCUGGACGCAGAGCUAGAGGAAGAAAAACUGUUGUUCUUUAGGCCUCUUAGAUUUGGUAGCUGUUGCUGCAUUUUAACUUUAUCUACAAUGUAUAGAGAGCUUUUAAAACUUUACAACAAAACACCAAUUCAGAAAUGGCCUAGAAAUGAAGAGACGUUUCUCUAAAGACAGAUAGAUGACUUAUAAGCACAUGAAUAGAUGCUCAACAUUACUAAUCAUUAGAGAAAUGCAAAUCAAAACCACAAUGAGAUACCACCUCACACCAAUUAGGAUGGAUUUUUUUUUUUUUUUUUGACAGUCUUUCUCUGUCACCCAGGCAGGAGCACAGUGGUGCAAUCAUGGCUCACUACACCCUUGACCUCCCUGGCUCAAGUGGUCUUCCCAUUUCAGCCUCCUGAGUAGCUGGGACUGUAGGUGCAUGCUACCACACCUCGAUAGAUUUUUAAUUUUUUGUAGAGAGAGGGUCUCACUGUGUUGCCCAGGCUGAUCUCACACUCAUGAGUUCAAGCAAUCCUACCUCAGCCUUUAAAAGCACUGGGAUUACAGGUGUGAGCCACUGCGCCUGUCUGAAAAUGGCUAAUAAUUUUUUUUAAAAGAAAAUAAUAACUGUUGGCAAGGAUAUGGGAAAUUGGAACCCUUGCACACUGUUGGUGGGAAUAAAAAUGGUAUAGAAACUGGAAAAUAUGGCUGCCUCUUUAAAAAUUGAACAUAGAAUUACCAUAUAAUGCAGCAGCUGCGCUUCUGGAUAUCUACCAAAAAUAAUUGAAGACAGGGUCUCUAACAGCCAUUUAUUUGUACACCCAUGUUCAUAGCCACACUAUUCACAAUAGCUAAAACAUGGAAGCAACCCAGAUGGUGUCCAUCCACGGAUGAGUGGAUAAGGAAAACUUGGUGUAUCUGUAUGAUGGAAGGAAUUUCUGAAAUGCACUACAAUGUGAAUGAACCUUGAAGACAUAUGCCAAGUGAAGUAAGCCAGUCACAAAAAGACAAGUAUUGUUUGAUUCCGCUUACAUGAGGCACUAGAGUCAUUAAGGUACUGGAGGCAGAAAGUGGAAUGGCGGUUUCCGUGAGCUGGGGGUGGAGAACGGGAGUUACUGUUUAAUGAGUACAGAGUUUCAGCUUUGCAGGAUGGAAAGAGUUAUAGAGAUGGAUGGUGGUGGUGAUUACACAACACUAUGAACAUAUUACCACUCAAUUGUCCAUGUGAAAAUGGCUAUGACGAUAAAUUUUGUUAUGUGUAUUUUACUACAAUAAAAAAUUGGGAAAAAUGUGUAAAAUUUUUAAAAUUGCUGAAAUAUUUGUGGCAAUUUUUCUGUUCCUUAUUUCCCCUUCCUUAAUAUGAAUGGUCCCUCUUCCCACAAAACUGUAAACCCUUCCUGCCCCCUUCCAUGUCACUGUAUGAACACUUAUUUUUUGUUUUUUAAUGACUGCAUGUCAUCUCAGUGUAUGGAUGCACUAUCCCCUAUUAAAGAGAUGUGAAAUUUGUGUGCUGUAAUCCAUAGUUUUCUUGUAUACAAGCAACAGCAAUUAGUUGUAAGAUGUAAAGAGAAGACAAAUUCAAAAAACAUUCCUCAGAUUAUUCAUCUAACAGAAUUCCAAAUUUUAAAAUGCCUGUUUCUCUCUGGUUCAAUACAAGCUGAUUCUGAAGUUCAGAUGAAAAAAUAUACAGAGAUUUUGUACCAGGGGUAUAUUAAAAAAAGAAAAAAAUGACCAGAAGUGCCAUGAGCCUCUGAGGAAGAGUUGUGUGGAGUCUGGUCCAUGCUGCAAUGCUCAGCUUGGGAAUAACAGGCCCGUGUGACAGGACAGAGAUUCUUGAAAUAGACAAAUACACUUGGGAAUUUAAUUUGAGGUGAAGUUGGAGUAACCGUUGAGUGUAGUCAGGGUUGAUUUUGAUUGUUAAUUAAGAUUUUUGGGACAAUUGGGUAGCAUUUGAAAUAAAGUAAGUCUGUAUCCAUACCUUACCCUGUAACCAGGAUCCUUGUACAGACAGAUCAGAGGUAAAUGCAAACAAGAAACCAAGAAGUACUAGAAGAAAAUAGGAGUGAAAUUCUGAAGUCUUGAAAUGGAGGAGAGUUUUUUUUUUUUUUUUUUUUUUUUUUUGAGAGAGAGAGUUUGCUCUUGUUUUGCCCAAGCUGGAGUGCAAUGGUUUGGUCUCAGCUCACUGCAACCUCUGCCUCCCAGGUACAAGUAAUUCUUUUCCCUCAGCCUCCCCAGUAGCUGGGAUUGCAGGCACCUGCCUCCACACUCAGCUAAUUUUUGUAUUUUUAGUAGAGAUGUGGUUUCACCCUGUUGGUCAGGAUGGUCUCGAUCUCUUGACCUUGUGAUCCACCUAUCUCAGCCUCCCGAAGUGCUGGGAUUACAGGUGAGAGCCACCAUGCCCAGACAGGGCUCUCUAACUGUAUCUCAGAGUCCAAAUGCUAUUAAGAUGACUUAAAUUUGAUUUCAUAAUAUGAAAAAAAUCUGUAUCACAUAAAUAAUGACAAAAAUAUUUGAAACUCACGGGUAAAGAGGUAAUAAGAAUUUCUAGGAAUUGAAAAAAGUUCAAAGUCCAAUGAAAAAUAUGCAAAAGAUAGCACAAUUCAUUGAAAAACAGAAUCCUUCAACAUGUGAAUGAAUGCUUAACAAUAUUUAAUUUUGGCCAGGCGUGGUGGCUCACACCUGUAAUCCCAGCACUUUGAGAGGCUGAGGCAGGCAGAUCAUGAGGUCGAGAGAUCGAGACCCUCCUGGCCAACAUGGUGAAACCUCGUCUCUACUAAAUACAGAAAAAAUUAGCUGGGCAUGGUGGCAUACGCCUGUAGUACCAGAUACUUGGGAGACUGAGGCAGGAGAAUUGCUUGAACCCAGGAGGCAGAGGCUGCAGUGAGCUGAGAUUGUACCACUGCAGUCUGGCCUGGUGACAGCAAGACUCCAUUUCAAAAAAAACCCCACAGUAUGUGUUUAAUUUUUAAGGGAGGAUCUUACUGUGUCACCCAGACUGGAGUACAGUGAUGUGAUCUCAGCUCACUGCAGCCUUGACCUGCUGGGCUCAAGCAGUCCUCCCACCUCAGUCUUCUGAGUAGCUGGGAAUACAAGCACACACCACCAUGCUCAGCUAAUUUUUAAAUUUUUGUAGAAACUUAUGUUGUCCAGGCUGGUCUUGAACUCCUGGCCUCAAGCAAUCCUGUCAUCCUUAGCUCUUGCGCGUGGCCAACACUUGAUUAAUUAAUGAAAGUCAAGGCCGGGUGCAGUGGCUCAAGCCUGUAAUCCCAGCACUUUCGGAGGCCGAAGGGUAGGUGGAUCACGAGGUCAAGAGAUCGAGACCAUCCUAGUCAACAUGGUGAAACCCUGUCUCUACUAAAAAUACAAAAAAUUAGCUGGGCACGGUGGCGUGUGCCUGUAAUCCUAGCUACUCAGGAGGCUGAGGAAGGAGAAUUGCCUGAACCCAGGAGGCGGAGGUUGUGGUGAGCCAAGAUUGCGCCAUUGCACUCUAACCUAGGUAACGAGCGAAACUCCAUCUCAAAAAAAAAAAAAAGAAAGUCAAAACUACACCAAGAUGCCAUUUCUCACCUAUCAGAUUGAAGAAAAUGCGUCUUUGACAACUACUUCAUUAGUGAGGCCUGAGGGAAGCAAGAAUUUGGGAGGAUAAUCUUUUAGUAAUAUAGAUCCAUUUACUCUUUGAGCUGGUGGUUUCCAUUCUAAGACUGUCUUACCUGUACAUACAAAAUCAGGUAUGUACAGAGUAAUUCAUUUUGGCACUGAUUGCUGAAAACUUCCUGAUUGUCCAGCAAUGGGAGACUGGCUUAAUAACCUAUGUUACGCUGACCCAGGGGGGAGCUGCAAAAAAGACAAGCAUUGAUGUGGAGAAAUUUUGUGGAUGUCUUGUUUCUAUUUUUUCUUUAUUUUUUUAUUUUUUAUUUUUAAAGACAGGGUUUCACCAUGUUGGUCAGGCUGGUCUUGAACUCCCAACCUCAGUGAUCCGCCCAUCUUGGCCUCUGAAGUGGGUUGUCUUGUUGAUAGAAAAAAAAAUCAAGAUGUAAAACAGUUUACAAUACUACCUUUUUAUGAGAAAAAGGAAUGAGAACAUGUACAUGUAUUCGUGUAAGGAAACACUGGAAGGAUAUACAGCAAAUAAAAAUGCUUAUCUGUGGGCAUGAUGGGGACAAGAUACCUGGUGACAAGUUGACAAUGAGACUUUAUGUUUUAUUUUUUGAACUGUGUAAAACUUUUUUUUUUUUAAGCUAUUGUUAAGCUAGAAACAAAAAAUGAGCACGUAGAGUAUAAUCUUGCAUUAGUUAAGAUAACACUUGCUGCUGUACCAAGUCACUACAUGAGCCACAUGAGGCCUUACGUUGCAUUUGUGAGAACUACUCAGUUGGCUCCUCUUGCUUCCACAGCAGGCUUGGAAAUGUAGCCAGCUGGGUAGCCAUUCCUAUCCCCAGCUCUACACUCAGUAGAGAAGGGACAGUACGAGGUUUUGAUGGUCUCCUAGCCAUCUCCACCUUAGGUCCUGGGCCCCUAAUCUGUAUGUUCAGUUUUUCAGAGAGUCAGAGAGCAGCUUCCACUGGCAGUGUGAGAGUGUUUGCCCAGUUGCCAUUUUUAUGUUGUCAUUAUUCUUCUUCACCAAUAAUAUAGGUGAAAAUGGAACCUCAUGGUUUAAUUUGCAUUUCUAUGUGUCAAUUUAGUGCCAUAUGUUUUGGGAACAGGAAAUACCACAAAAUAGCUCUGUAGCCCAUUAGCUAUGGUUAAGAUAUGGUUUCUUGGGCCUGCCAAGUCUCAUGUUGAAAUUUGAUCCUCAUGUUGGAGGUGGGGCCUGGCUGGAGGUUGGAGGUAUCUGGCUCUCCGCGGGGGCAGAUUCCUUAUGAAUGCUUGGUGCUACUCUUAAGGGAAUGGAUGAGUUCUGACUCUGAGUUCCUGUAAAAAUAGCCUGGCACCUUCCCUCCCGCCCUUUCUGAUCUCUGCCUACCAGCUCCCCUGCCUUCCACCCUGAGUGGAGGCAGCCUGAGGCCAUCACCAGAUGUGGAUGUUGGCACCAUGCUUCUUGUCCCAGCCUGCAGAACUGUAAGCCAAAAUAAACCUUUUUUCUUUAUAAAUUAUCCAGCAUCAGGUAUUUUUUUUUUUUUAUGAGACGGAGUUUCGCUCUUGUUACCCAGGCUGGAGUGCAAUGGCGCAAUCUUGGCUCACCGCAACCUCUGCCCCCUGGGUUCAGGCAGUUCUCCUGCCUCAGCCUCCUGAAUAGCUGGGAUUACAGGCACGCGCCACCGUGCCCAGCUAAUUUUUUGUAAUUUUUAGUAGAGACGGGGUUUCACCAUGUUGACCAGGAUGGUCUUGAUCUGUUGACUUCGUGAUCCACCCGCCUCGGCCUCCCAAAGUGCUGGGAUUACAGGCUUGAGCCACCGCGCCCGGCCCAGGUAUUUCUAAUAUAGCAACACAAAAAUGGACUAAGGCACGUUUGUCAUCUGAAGAUAAAUUUCUAGAAUAUUACCUUAUCAUGAGUUUUUGUUUUGUUUAAAUAAAAAGGGAAGGGGAAUGAUUUUGAGAGCUAGUUUAGUAGAGUCUCAGUGUGUCCUUGACCUGGAAGGUUGGAAGGCAGGAAGGCAGGUCCUGGGGCAUGUGAUCUGUUCUGAUGACCAGGCCUGUGGGAUACAGCAGGGAGGAGGAGGUUUUCCUGCUACAUUCUCAGCACAGGGAGCCCUGGGGCUUAGAGAUUCUCAACCGAAUGAUAAUGCAGAUACUUAUGUUCAUUUAUUUAAAGGCUUUUUUGGUGUGUGUCUUCAUAUUAUAAUGAUUCAUGGACAAAUUGGCCACCUAUUGCAUUUAAAAUUAAUUUUGUUUUUAGACGGAGUUUUGCCCUUGUUGCCCAGGCUGGAGUGCAACGUCGUGAUCUUGACUCACUGCAGCCUCCACCUCCUAGGUUCAAGUGAUUCUGCUACCUCAGCCUCACAAGUAUCUGGGAUUACAGGCAUGCGCCACCACGCCCAGCUAAUUUUGUAUUUUAUUGAAGACAGGGUUUCACUCUCUUGGUCAGCCUGGUCUCGAACUCCUGACAUCAGAUAAUCCACCUGCUUCAGCGUCCCAUAGUGCUGAGAUUACAGGCAUGAGCCACCGCGCCCGGCCUUAAAAUUAAAUCUUUUUUUUUUUUUUUGAGACGGAGUUUCGCUCUUGUUACCCAGGCUGGAGUGCAAUGGCGCGAUCUCGGUUCACCGCAACCUCCGCCUCCUGGGUUCAGGCAAUUCUCCUGCCUCAGCCUCCUGAGUAACUGGGAUUACAGGCACGCGCCACCAUGACCAGCUAAUUUUUUGCAUCUUUAGUAGAGACGGGGUUUCACCAUGUUGACCAGGAUGGUCUCGAUCUCUUGACCUCGUGAUCCACCCGCCUCGGCCUCCCAAAGUGCUUGGAUUACAGGCGUGAGCCACCACGCCCGGCUCAAAAUUAAAUCUUGAUUAAAGACUUCCAUCUCAUCAACCAUUAUUAAAAUGAAAAGUAAAAUGUUAAUCAUUUUAUUUACUGCCUGGCACCUAGUGAAUAUUUGAUAAAUAUUUGUUCAAUGGAAAUUCAAAUAAAGAAACAGGACUUUAUAUAUGUUCUCAUAUCUAUAAAAUACUCUGAAUGUUCUAGACAUUAUGAGAUGAGAAAUAGUUAAGAUAAUUAUACAAAAAGUAGGAGUCAAAAAUUUUUUUAUAUAAAAUUUUUUUUUUAAUUAAAAAAAAUUAUUUUUUAAAAAUAUGGAACGCUUCACGAAUUUGCAUGUCAUUCUUGUGCAGGAGCCCUGCUAAUUUUCCCUGUUUCAUUCCAGUUUUAGCAUAUGUGCUGCCACAGCGAGCACUAGGAGGAGUUAAAAUUGCCAAAAGCAAGCACUAGGAGGAGUUAAAAUUGCCAUUGCUUACAGUGACUUUCUACUCAGAAAGCUCCAGUAAAAAUCAACUAAAAAUUCUCAAAACUCAUGCAGUUUGGUAAGAUUUUUUCUUUUCUUUCUUUUUUUUUUUUUGAGAUGAAGUCUCACUCUGUUCCCCAGGCUGCAGUGCAAUGGGGCGAUCUUCGCUCACCGCAACCUCCACCUCCCAGAUUCAAGUGACUCUCCUGCCUUAGCCUCUGGAGUAGCUGGAAUUACAGGCAUGUGCCACCACUCCUGGCUAAUUGUUUUUUUUGUAUUUUUAGUAGAGAUGGGGUUUUUACCAUGUUGGCCAAGCUGGUCUCGAACUCCUGACCUUGGGUGAUCCAUGCCCCUCAGCCCCCAAGAUGCUGAGAUUACAGGUGUGAGCCACUGCGCCUGGGCGUAAGAUUUUCAAAUGCAAAAUAAAUAGACCAAUUGAUAGCUUUCUUAUAUACCAAUAACCAGCUGACUAGAAAGAUGAAACAGGAUAAACUCUUACUUCACAGUAGCAACAGCAACAACAAUACACAUUUAAGAAUUACAUUAGAAAUAUGUAGAAUGGAGUUGGAGGGAGGCAGGUAAAAGAAAAAAAAGGAAACAUGUAGAAUGUCAGCUGGGUGAGGUGGCGCAUUCCUGUAAUCCCAGUGAGCUGAGAUUGCACUACUGCACUCCAGCCUGGGUGAGGGAGUAAGACUCUCAAAAAACAACAACAAAACCAUGGAACAUUUGUCGAGAAGAUCAUUAAACUUUACUAAGAGAUGUAAAAUGAUAUUUAAGUGGAAAGAUAGUUUGUUAUUACACAAGAACAUACAACGUUGAAAAGCUGGUGUUCCUUUUUCAAAUAGACUUCAUGCAGUUCUGCCUGUGGUCGUUCAGCCUCAGCUUCCUAUCUAGGGAAGUCAGAGUGCAUGGGUGUGAGUGAGUCUGCGAACACGGGGAUUCUGCGGCAAGCUUCAGUGUGGACCAAGGACUAGAGGUUCUGCAGCCACGUAGUGUGGGCUUGCAGGGCAGCGGGCCCUGUAUCUUCUGCUGCUAGGCUUACCUUGGCCUGCCUCUAGCUCCCAGCUCUCUCAGAGAUGUGGAAGAUGGUUGGGGGUUCUCCACACUGCUUUCUAAACUUUAACAUACUUCUGCUUUUAGUGUAUCUGGCGUUUCGUAGUCCAGUCCAUCUAUGGUUUACCCUCUGCAGAGAAUAAAUCUUCAGUCUCCUGAUGGAUUGGGGCAGUGACCCCACUCUUUUCGGUGAGCUAGAAGCCCAAGGGGUUUUUCCAGUUUUCAUUCUGAUUCUGACCUCCACCUGAUCUCCCACCACAGGUACCUGGUGCUGUUGGUUCAUGUGCCUUGUCUUCCCCCGUACUGGUUUUGGACUUUUCUGAACCUGUCACCUUAACUUCUGGACUUCUGUUGUUCAGCUUCUAACAUGGUCUCUCCUCUCAUUCUUGACCACUGUGCAAUUACGUCCUUCUAAAAUUUUACUGUCAUUUUAGUGGGGUUUUAAGAUGUGAAACAGUUAUGUCUACUGUCUUUAGCCUCAAACAUAAAAAUGUAACGUGUGGCUGGGCACGGUGGCUCAUAACUGUAAUCCCAGGACCUUGGGAGGCCGAGGCGGGCAGAUCACGAGGUCAGGAGUUCAAGACCAGCCUGGUCAAUAUGGUGAAACCCUGUCUUUACUAAAAAUACAAAAAUUAGCCGGGCAUGGUGGCACGUACUUGUAAUCCCAUCUGCUUGGGAGGCUGAGGCAGGAGAAUUGCUUGGGCCUGGGAGGCGGAGUUUGCAGUGAGCCAAGAUCGUGUCACUGCACUCUAGCCUGGGUAACAAGAGUGAAACUCCGUCUCAGAAAAAAAAAAAAAAGAAAAAGAAAAAGUUCUUGGCGAGGCACAGUGGUUCACGCCUAUAAUACCAGCACUUUUGGGAGGCUAAGAGGAUCGCUUGAGGCCAGGAGUUUGAGACCAGUCUAGGCAACGUGGUGAAACCCUGUCUCUACUAAAAAUACAAAAACUUGCCAGGCAUGGUGGUGCACACCUGUAGUUCCCAGCUACUUGGAAGGCUAUGGCACAAGAAUCGCUUGAACCUGGGAGAUGGAGGUUGCAGUUAGCUGAGAUCGUGCCACUGUACUCCAGUCUGGAUGACAGAGCGAAAUUCUAACCCCUCUUCCUCCCCCCAAAAAGUUAUAUGUCAGUUAGAGGAUAAUAAGAGAUAUUUUGUCAUUAAUCACAAUGAUUAGAACAGCAUGUUAUUCUGAUUUUUUAAAAUGCAUAGAAGAAGCAGUGAAAUAGAAAUGUUAUAUGCAAUUUUUUACAAAGGAAGCAUCAUUAAUACAUGCUAGGGUAAUUGUGUAGUUGUUUGGGUAAAAAUAGUUUUGUCAUCUCAUAUAUGCUAAAGUAAUUCCAGAUUAACAGUAACUGUUGUUAAGGUUUUGGUUAUAACUUUUCACACUGUGUAUACACCUGUAUAUUUUGUAUUUUUACAUACUAUUCUAUAAGCUGUAAAACCACUAUAUUCUGGAUUUUCAUGCAGGUCUUCAGAUAGAGAGGGCAUUGCGUUGAAUGACUACGUAGCACCUGCUUAUCCCAUUGUUUCAGACCUCCCUUGGAACUGGUAUGGCACAGUACUGUCUAACCCUGAAGGGUGUUCUGGAGGGGUGGCUGGUGUGGACAAGGGGACCAAGUCCACAUGAGCCUGGAGUGGCAUGUUAUAUACUCUGCGCAGGUCUCCUGCCUGCUCCUAUCCCAAGGCCUGCGGACAUGGAGUUUGCACCUUUGUUGCCUCUUCGUGGUACUCACUGUGUUUUGACACAUACUGAGGUGUACAGGUGAUGGUGCUAGCCUGCUUGUACAGAGGCAAAGAGGGACAAAAUGCAGACCAGUUAGAAAACAGGCAGUAGUGUUAGGAGGCCUUCACAAACUUCACUCUUGCCCAGGAAAGACCAGCAGUUGGUGGAAUGGUAGCAGGAAGAAACUCCUCCCUGCAGCAUAUGACUUAAGGGAAAUUUUAGAAGAAUAAUCAUUGACUUUGCCAGUAAAGAUCCUAUGGUGUGCACCCAGCAUCCUUGGACUAAAUGGGCUUAUUGUUUAUUUAAUCAGCUUCCUAUUGAUGGACAAUUGGCUUCUUUCCAGUGCUUCUUGCUGUUAUUAGCAACUUUCUUAUGUCUAACUUUUGUUCCUUUGUCAAAAGUGCCCAGUUAUUUAGGAUAAUUUGAGAUUUAAUGGGUCAAAGAGCAUGAAUAUUUAAAAUUUUGAAACUGUUGCCAAGGUGACUUCCAACAAGAUUGGGAAGUUUUGCCCUCCUACCCAAAAGCGUUUCAGUGCCCAUUUCCCCCACUCCUGCCUUCAUGAGAUGAUAUUAUUAUUAUUAUUAUUAUUAUUAUUACUGUUUUUGAGACAGGAUCUCACUCUGUCACCCAAGCUGGAGUGCAGUGGCAUGGUCUUGGCUCACUGCAGUCCUCAGCUUCCCAAGUAACUGGAACUACAGGCACGUGUCACGGCACCCAGCUAAUUUUUGUAUUUUUUGUAGAGGCAGGGUUUUGCCGUGUUGUCCAGGCUGGUCUCGAACUCCUGGGCUCAUGUGAUCCUGCUGCCUUGUUCUCCCAGAGUGCUGGAAUUACAGGUGUGAGCCACUGCCCUGGCCAUUGGGUGAUAUUAUCAUUGAUGUCUGCAAGUUGAUGCAUGAGAAUCAAACUUGUGUGAUGUUUGCCUCUCAUAUGUAUGUUGCCUAAGAUUUCUAUCACUUGAAUCUUGAAAGUUUUUUAAUAAAUUCUUACUUUCCCUUGAACAUAUUUUGAAUGGUCCAAGUUGUGUUUAAGAAACUCGUGUUAUCCUAUGGAACCAGUUUUUCUACCUAAUGAGAAAGUGGUUCAUGAUAGAAACUGCAGACUUCAUUCAUCAGCUACCCGUACUUCUUGAGCAUCCAAGUUCUGGGCACUGGUUAUAGAAAAUCAACAAGAGCUGUGUGGUACUUAUUUGUGGGGAGACAUUCUGUCCAUGAUGAUAGAGAUAAGUGUUUUGUUGCAGACUGAAGGGAAAAGAGGAGUCUGACAGACAUGGUGAGAGAGCCUCAUUAGGCUGGGUGGCCAGGGGACUUUGGAGAAUAGCAGUGAAGCUUAUGUCUGGAGGGGGCAGAAGAUUAGGGGCCCCUGCGAGAGACUGAAAGGCGUUAGAGAGUCAGGGGCUGGGUGAGCAAGCGCUAGAGAGGGGGCAGCAGCAUGGGGCACAGGGUCCUGGAUCAAUUUUAGAGGCCCUUGGUGGGGUUGUGGGGGCAUGCCCGCAGAGUCGCUGGGGUCUGGGAAGAAGAUAUCAGGCCUUCUAAUUCUAUUUCCCCAACCUCUGAGAAGACCUCUUUAGUUCAGUUUAUUGCGUCUUUCAUUGUUCAUUUGUAGAGAGCAGAGUCUUGUUACACUGUCCAGGCUUGCCUUGAGCUCCUGGCCAGGUGCUUGCACUGUGCAGCCUCAUUGUGCUGCUCACUGCCCAGUCCUCAUUCAAGAUCACGCCUCGCUAAGCAUUUUCCUUCCUUCCUCAUUCAUACGCGCAGCAGCCCAUUAGGGCAGAUUCCAUCACAGUCAGAGGCCCCGAGACCCUUCCACCACUCCUUCCACCUGACACUCUGCCACAGUGCUCCUGGUGCUCCGCAGGGCUUUUAAUGUCUUCAGACUGAGGGCCCAGCACUGUCUUCCCUAUCAGAGGAAUGAGGAUAGGUUGCUCAGUGACCCUGGACAGUAGGGAAAGGAGAUCACUGUCAAACUGGGAGCAGGAGCACUGGCAUCUGCUACACUCCCUACGCAGCUGCUGUUCAGCGAGGCCCUGCAGGCCUACGCCUCCGAGUUAUGUCUAAGGGAUGUUCACAGAGGGACCCCCUCCCCAUCAGGAGAGUGUGCAAGAGCAGUGAUGGGAAAGCCAUCUGCCACCUCAGGAAGCAGACAGGUGGCCAUCCUCCUGGCUGAGCUAAUAGAAGAGCCUCUUGCAGGCACCAAGUGUUUAUUGAUAAGUGACAUCCUAAGAAGCCCGAUGACCCUUGUGGGAAGCAGAACCUCAGCAUUCUCACGUUUGAGAAUGGAGACCUAGAGGAGCUACCACGAAGGCCUGGCCCUGGGUGUGUUUUUUCCCUUGCAGUUUUGUAGAUGCUGUUUGAUGGGAAGGCUCUACAUAGCACACUUAGGGUUUGCCCUUCUUCGUCACCUCCAAGCACAGGAGCUGCAUCAGUAGAAACAGGCUUCGUCAAUACAGAUGAUCUUGUGGGCUCCCUGGGUUGUUAGAUUGGCUUCGGUUCUUUCAGGGAAGGACUCUGUGUCUGCCCAUCAGUGCCUCCUGUUAUUGGCCUAGUUUCACAGCUCAACGACUGCAAAUGGAAGUCAGCCUUCUGAAAUAUAAAUGACAACUUUUAUUUGGUGGCAUACAGUGAAACAUUUUUUUCUUUAAAAAUGCUCUUUAGGACAGGACACGGUGGCUCACGCCUGUAAUCCCAGCACUUUGGGAGGCCGAGGCAGGUGGAUCACGAGGUCAAGAGAUUGAGACCAUCCUGGUCAACAUGGUGAAACCCCGUCUCUACUAAAAAAAAAUACAAAAAAAUAGCUGGGCAUGGUGGUGCAUGCCUGUAAUCCCAGCUACUCAAGAGGCGGAGGCAGGAGAAUUGCCUGAACCCAGGAGGCGGAGGUUGCGGUGAGCCGAGAUCGCGCCAUUGCACUCCAGCCUGGGCAACAAGAGCGAAACUCCGUCUCAAAAAAAAAAAAAUUUCCUCAAAGAAAAUGUUUUACUCUUAGCAGGAAAUGGUAAGAGUAAAACAAAAAGGGGGAAGUGGCAGCAGAAAGCUUUUUAGAUUCAUUUUUUUUUUCUAUAUUGUCCUUAAAACUGGGGACAGGGUUUGUUUUUUAAAAUCUUCGUUUGUUGUCUGCGUAUUUUCCUUUGACAGGAAAUAGUAGGGAAUGGAAUUGCCCUUGUUGUCUUGAAGGGCUGCAUUAAGUGUCAUCCAGCCUGCAGGUCGUCAAGAUGGGAAACUCCAGGUGUGUACAUGCACUAUGUGGCACCAGUGAAUCCAGUAAUGCCCAGAACACCCCACUGUAGCUUAGCAGGAAUGUGCUGCAUUAUUUGAGAGUGGAGACCCCCUAGCGUGAUCGUACCUUUCCUUUCUCUGUCUCCUGAUUCAAAUACAAAGUCAUUGACAGUUCAGACUUCUUACGAAAUAAUGUGUUUGUUCUUCAAAGUGGUUUAAUUAUACCUGAGUAUCUCUUUAGAAAGCACAGAAAGAGAAGAAAAAGAGAUAGGAAAGAGAAAGCAAAGUCAGAUAAGAGAUGGGAUAGACGUGAUUGGGGAAGUAUGACAGCUGAAAGCUAAGGAAACCAGACAAGUUAAUUUUUUUUCUAAAAUAACAUUUAAAAAAAUAAUAACAAUUCCAUCUUGUAUAGGAUUUUAUUGCACUUAAUAGUUUGGCUUGUCAGAUUUCUGUUGGUGUCACUGUCUUUCUCCCCUCAUUUAGGAUCCUUCGGUUGCAAAUGGUGAACGAAGAGUGUCCUCAUCAUUGCCAUCAGGAAGGAUGGCCUUGUCCAGUUCCAGUGGGCAGUGCAUUGGCACUUGCUUGUUUCCUGGAUGCAUCACAGUGAGUCUGAGUUGGAAGGAUCACAGUCAGUCUCCCGUUAAGAGCAUGGGGUCUGCCUGCUGGGUGCUUUGGUACCCAAGGUCAAUCACCAACCUGACUGGAGAUCUUCCCAGAGCAGGAGGUUUGUGGCAGCUGACUGUGGUAAAGUUCUACUUUGGUCAGAUAAGGGAAGUUCAGAUAAGAUGUCUUCAUGCAUUUGCUAUGAUUCUGUUAACAGGUUUCUCUGGGAUCCCUAAGAGAGGGUCCACUCAGUCUGUUGAGGGGCUUAGGAAUUUAUAUUUGGUUUACAACUUAGAUGUGUUCAUUUUUGAAGUAUUAUUUGUACCAUUCUUGUCAGUCCCCACAUACCUCCAUUUGAAACUUCCCAAGAAGUCUCACAAAAGAGCUGGGUUGAUUGCUGUAGUAGAAGUCUUAGGUUAGAAAUUGAGAGGUAAGAGAUCUGCAGGGGAAAAAAGAACAUAGACUGGAAUGAGGAUACGAAAAGAAAAUAAAGGUUAAUGCUUGGAGCAGAGUGUAAAACCAGUUCUUGAUUCCAUAGGGCAGUCAAGACUUUUUAACAUUGGGCUCAAAUCAUUUUUAGCUGGUGGAGUGAGAGCAGCAGUGGCGAUUGGAUGAUUUUCCUGAUUGAAGUUUGAAUGUUUUUGGUAGUGGCAUCCCAUACAUGAUCUCUUGUGCUGAUGAGUCCUUUGAAGUUUAUGCAGAGUUGAUCAGAUUCAACCUGCAGGACUUGUAUCAGUCCCAAACUGGCUACCCAUGAGCUAAAUACAGCCAGCAGAGUAUCUUUUCUUGUCUAGCCAGGCUUUUUGUGUUUUGUUUUUUUUUUUAGGGAGGGAAGGAGGAAGGGAG